AUGUCUGCGCCGCCGCCCACCCCACCCGCGCUGCUGCCCAUCACCACCGCGCCGCUGCCCAUCACCACUGCGCUGCUGUCCUCCCCACCCGCGCCGCUGGUCCCCACCUCCGGCGCCCCCAUCGCCCAGCUGUCGGCGCCCUCCACUGCGCCGCCCGCCGCCGUCUACACCCCGGAGGAGGUCACCGGGGUCCUCCACGACCUCGUCACAGCGAUCCAGGAGAUCCGGCUAUACUUGGCCAGCCCCUACGGGCCUCUGCCACCCCCGCCGCCGGCUGCCGCCAUCGGUCCGCCGGCCCUGCCGUGGUACUUGCCGCACUCGGCAGCCUCCGCAGCGUUCGCUGGGCCGCUGCAGCCCCAGCUGCCGCUGCAGCCGCCGCCCGCCACCACCCUACAAUGGCCGCAGUGGCCGUCGCCGGCUCUCACGGCGCCCCCGCCCCCAUGCAGCAAGCCGCCCCCCGCCAGCACUCCACUCUGGCCUCAGUGGCCAUCGACGGCCCUCGCGGUUCCCGCCGCGCCCGUCGCCCACAUGCUGCAGCUGCUGUAG
rnacentral:rRNA from 1 species